AUACAAUGGACAGGGUGGGGGAAACCGAAGCUUGGAAUCUCCAGCCUGCUAGCUCAGGUCUCCUGUUGCAAUGUUGCCCUUAACCUCACUGGACAUCAACUACACCAGAAGAGCAUUGGCUAUGAUCACUGGAGUGGCUCCCACUUCAGCUUUGCUGAGGGACCUCAGUUUGACACAGUGUGAGAAGAUGUUAAGAAGGUUCUGUGCAAGUAUAUGUGGAGGAAAAAAAAGAGAAACAAGGAGCUGAAUUUUCACUCAAUGCAGCCCCCCCUUGCUUAAAGAAAUAACUGCAGUACAGAUUUUAACAAUUAACAUUCCUGCAGUGGAUGUCGUUAUGGAUGGAGCUAAUAAAUGUUUUCAAACACUCCUCUGCGCA
rnacentral:lncRNA from 1 species